CCGGUGAUCUAGCCAUGGGCAGGUUGAAGGUUGGGUAACACUAACUGGAGGACCGAACCGACUAAUGUUGAAAAAUUAGCGGAUGACCUGUGGCUGGGGGUGAAAGGCCAAUCAAACCGGGAGAUAGCUGGUUCUCCCCGAAAGCUAUUUAGGUAGCGCCUCGUGAAUUCAUCUCCGGGGGUAGAGCACUGUUUCGGCUAGGGGGCCAUCCCGGCUUACCAACCCGAUGCAAACUGCGAAUACCGGAGAAUGUUAUCACGGGAGACACACGGCGGGUGCUAACGUCCGUCGUGAAGAGGGAAACAACCCAGACCGCCAGCUAAGGUCCCAAAGUCAUGGUUAAGUGGGAAACGAUGUGGGAAGGCCCAGACAGCCAGGAUGUUGGCUUAGAAGCAGCCAUCAUUUAAAGAAAGCGUAAUAGCUCACUGGUCGAGUCGGCCUGCGCGGAAGAUGUAACGGGGCUAAACCAUGCACCGAAGCUGCGGCAGCGAACGUAUCACCCAAGACAACUUUACGGAGUUGACGAUUGACGGAGCGAAGCGACGUCAAAGCGUUCAUUAAAGUCGAGUUGGCUUAGGGAUACGUUCGUUGGGUAGGGGAGCGUUCUGUAAGCCUGUGAAGGUGUGUCGUGAGGCAUGCUGGAGGUAUCAGAAGUGCGAAUGCUGACAUAAGUAACGAUAAAGCGGGUGAAAAGCCCGCUCGCCGGAAGACCAAGGGUUCCUGUCCAACGUUAAUCGGGGCAGGGUGAGUCGACCCCUAAGGCGAGGCCGAAAGGCGUAGUCGAUGGGAAACGGGUUAAUAUUCCCGUACUUGGUGUUACUGCGAAGGGGGGACGGAGAAGGCUAUGUUGGCCGGGCGACGGUUGUCCCGGUUUAAGCGUGUAGGUGUGUGUUCCAGGUAAAUCCGGUUCACUUUAACACUGAGGCGUGACGACGAGGCACUACGGUGCUGAAGCAACAAAUGCCCUGCUUCCAGGAAAA
rnacentral:rRNA from 1 species